AGUUUUUACCGUUAGUAACCGUUGGUUAUAUUUUACCGUUGUUAGUAAUUACCGUCGAUUGUAUAGAAACUUUUUGAAUUGUGUUAGAAUGGGUUAGGCCCAUUAGAAUUUGAGUUGAACCCAUUAAGGGGGAUAACACUAGGGUUGUCAUAGAAUUGUAUUCAUUCACUUCACAAAACAUUUUCCUAGAGAGAGGAAGAGGUAGAGAGAGAAAGAGGUGAAGAGAAGAACAAGAGGGUUGAAGGGAAGCUUGAGGAAUCAAGUGGGUGACCUAGG
rnacentral:lncRNA from 1 species